AAGAAGUGAGUAUUUUUAAAAUGUUCGCAUAUUAACGACCGGAGAAUUGUUUUUGCUGCAGCACAAGGGAGAGGAUCGAAGGGCGUCGCGGUGGCUGGGAAGGCAACAAUUUCUUGGCACGGCCAUCGUCUAGCCGUGUAAUCAUUUUUGGCAGUGAGGUGCAUCGAACGUAAAAAGCAGCUGGAAUUUCGCCAGUUGCAGAGGCAACAUUGCAUCACCUGUUACUGGCUUUAUAUACGAGUCAGAAGAAAAGAUGAUGGUGUUCAUCUCGCUUUUUCAUCACGUGAAAAUGAAUAAAUGCUAUAUAUAUCGUUUGGAAUAAAAUAUAAAGUAAGAUAUCACCUAUCUGAUUAUCGAGAGCGAAAGAAAUAUAACGUAAUAAAUAACUGGAAUAAUUUCACGAACUUCUAAAGAAGAUAAAAAGACAAGAAACAAGAUACCUUCAAAGAAAGAAUUUCCAUACGUUCGAUACAAUUUCUUAACGAGUUUUAUCAAAAACUUUUCGUAUCAAACGAAAAGUACUGAUUUACAAAAAAAAAAGAAGAAGAAGAAGAGAAAGCUUCUGGAAAAGAUAAAAACGUGAAAGAAGUAUCUUCCGGGGAGAAGACGCGGGAGGAAACUUCCGUGUACAGUUGGCAACCUCUUAACAAGUCUUAAGAACAAAUGCGACUACUCCGCGUAACCUUAAUGGCGAACAACACUUUGCAGCACGCUGCAAUUUCGCUCUUGAGUAAAAUGUAUGUACGACUUCAUUUUUAACUUAUCUGGAAUGGAAUAUUAAAAUGCUUCUUUAGCAUCGUUGCGCUUGUUUCGAGCCAAGUUGUUUUAAACUUUCACGAACGAAGUUACCAAUUAAAUUUUAGAAUUUUGAAAUAUCGAAUCGUUUCAAGCUAUUUCAAAACGUUUCUCUAUCUACUAGUUUCCAUCGAUGAAAACUUGUUACUUAUAAGAUUUUUGAUUUUUCUAUUCCAAGUGAAAAAGAAGGAAAGAAAGAAGACGAAUGAGCAGCGUGUUGGGAGGCAAGUCUUCGACAAGAUUUCUCACUUGGCCAGCAACCUCUUACCCCGAUCUAAGAACUAAAGUGACCUCAAAGAUAUACAUAUAUAUACGUGUUUUCCACGUGUGAUGCCAUUUCUUUCAGAGUGCUCGAAUGCGUGUUGCGAGGGUGGUCAGCCUCUGCCGAGAUUGUCGACAGUUAGGGCAACACGUAGCUGCAUAAUCGUAUGCAGAUACACGACUGGCCGUACACUCAUCCGCCAAACUCCAUUCGUACUCCACAUGCAAAUCGUGCACUUGCCAGCGGACCCGCCGGCAGUAGUUAGUAGUGUAUGAUCGAGCGCCUGGCCCGUUUCCCUAUUGGUACAUCAGUUAUGUUUCGUGCAUUAACGUGCAUUGCCUGAAUUCGGAACCACACACGAUUCCUUCGUUAGCCUAACCUAGGUGAAUUAUAUAGGCAAGCUGCGAUAAGAAUGGAGGAUUAUCGAUUUUCGUAUUAAAUUGAAAGAUGAAGAACGAGAAGAAGCGAUGAAAAAUGGCGGGAAACGGAAUUUGAAAUUAGAAGAAGUACACUGAACGAUAAAUACGAAUUGUUUUUUUUUUUUGGAAGAGUUUUUUGAUGCGACCAUAUUGGAAAUUCUACGUGACCGGCUUCGAAUGCGUUAAUAUUGCGCUUUGAAAUUAACAAUCGUGGUUGGGAUUAUGGAUUCAAUUUAAUAAUUUUAAUAAAGUUCAAUUUGAACUUUAGGUUAAUUAAAUGUUAUUAAUUAUAAAUUAUGCAUAAUUUAAUAUUCUGCAACGGUAAAUAUCUAAUUUCGAGUGAAAUGAUUCGAAGGAAAAGAAUUAAAAAUGAUUUAAUUUAAAUCAGCUCUAUAUCUAUAUAUUGUUCGAGGCACAAUUUCGAAGACAAUUAACAAAGAAAAUGGCAAUGAAAUAUGAUUAGCGACGAAGAAUUAAGAAUUAAUACUCAAAUUGAUUCAAUUUCAUCCAUCAUCCGAAUUAAAAUUAUAUUUUGAAAAAAGAAAUCUACGUUUGAAUAAUAAUGAUGAUGGAUCUGAAAUUUUCG